rnacentral:rRNA from 1 species
UACGUAGGGUGCAAGCGUUAAUCGGAAUUACUGGGCGUAAAGCGUGCGCAGGCGGUUUUGUAAGUCUGUCGUGAAAUCCCCAGGCUCAACCUGGGAAUUGCGAUGGAGACUGCAAGGCUAGAAUCUGGCAGAGGGGGGUAGAAUUCCACGUGUAGCAGUGAAAUGCGUAGAGAUGUGGAGGAACACCGAUGGCGAAGGCAGCCCCCUGGGUCAAGAUUGACGCUCAUGCACGAAAGCGUGGGGAGCAAACAGG